GAUGAACGCUGGCGGCGUGCUUAACACAUGCAAGUCAAACGGUGAAGCCAAGCUUGCUUGGUGGAUCAGUGGCGAACGGGUGAGUAACACGUGAGCAACCUGCCCUGGACUCUGGGAUAAGCGCUGGAAACGGCGUCUAAUACUGGAUAUGAGACGUGAUCGCAUGGUCAACGUUUGGAAAGAUUUUUCGGUCUGGGAUGGGCUCGCGGCCUAUCAGCUUGUUGGUGAGGUAAUGGCUCACCAAGGCGUCGACGGGUAGCCGGCCUGAGAGGGUGACCGGCCACACUGGGACUGAGACACGGCCCAGACUCCUACGGGAGGCAGCAGAGGGGAAUAUUGCACAAUGGGCGGAAGCCUGAUGCAGCAACGCCGCGUGAGGGAUGACGGCCUUCGGGUUGUAAACCUCUUUUAGCAGGGAAGAAGCGAAAGUGACGGUACCUGCAGAAAAAGCGCCGGCUAACUACGUGCCAGCAGCCGCCGUAAAAC
rnacentral:rRNA from 1 species